rnacentral:rRNA from 1 species
GCUCAGGAUGAACGCUGGCGGCGUGCUUAACACAUGCAAGUCGAACGAAGCGAUUUAGCGGAAGUUUUCGGAUGGAAGCUGGAUUGACUGAGUGGCGGACGGGUGAGUAACGCGUGGGUAACCUGCCUCACACUGGGGGACAACAGUUAGAAAUGACUGCUAAUACCGCAUAAGCGCACAGGACCGCAUGGUCCGGUGUGAAAAACUCCGGUGGUGUGAGAUGGACCCGCGUUUGAUUAGCUAGUUGGUGGGGUAACGGCCUACCAAGGCGACGAUCAAUAGCCGACCUGAGAGGGUGACCGGCCACAUUGGGACUGAGACACGGCCCAAACUCCUACGGGAGGCAGCAGUA